UACUGUCGUGCUUUGAAUGGAAGAAAGGAAGAAGCCCAAGGCUGGGUUUGUGGUUGAAUAGACUCACUGGAAAGAGACGAGCUGCCUGGCAUUUGAUAUGGCAAGAAGCUUCACCAGAAAAUUGCUCACGGCGCGUGUAAUGACGCUGGAAAUGCAGUGGUGGCGCAUGGGAACUGAUAGCGAGGAAUCCGACGCUGGCCUUCUGAGGACUGACUCACCAACAGCCGGGAAAGCUUCUAGGGCUGGUGGCAUAAUCCACCUCCUUCGGGAAAACGAUGAACUAAGAGGGCAGCCCAUUUUCUUUUAGGGACUGAAGGAAAAAAGA
rnacentral:misc_RNA from 1 species